GCGCAGCCUGAUCCAGCCAUGCCGCGUGCAGGAUGAAGCAUCUAUGGUGUGUAAACUGCUUUUAUACAGGAAGAAACCCUGCCACGUGUGGUAGAUUGACGGUACUGUAGGAAUAAGGAUCGGCUAACUCCGUGCCAGCAGCCGCRGUAAU
rnacentral:rRNA from 1 species